CCCAGCAACUUCCACAUGCCUUGGGCAUAGCCAAAAACCAAAAUGAGGUAAGGCAAAAAAUGGGGGGUAGGAAUGGAAGAUGUUGUGCCAGACAGAAUAGAGUAUGCAAAUGAAAGUGUGAUGGCUUCAGGAAACUGAAAGGAGGCCUUUUGGGGCCUUGUAAGUCGGGAUAGGAAUUUUGGAACUUGAUUUAAGGAUAAUAGGAAAAGGAAGAAAAAUUGAAAGUUUCUAUUUUCCUCCUUCCUCCCAUCUUUCCAUUUUUGCUUUUAUUCCUUCUUUCUAAUACUUAUACAGUGCUUACUACAUGCCAGGCCCUGUUCUAAAUAAUGAUAUCUGUAUCUACAUGAUAGAUUCAUGUGUGUAUAUUCAUUUAAUCCUAAUAAUUACCCUGUGUAGUAGACCGUUGUAGCCGUUGAGAAAUCAAGUCAAUGCAGUGGAAUGGAGAAAGGUAGGUGUGUUCAAGAGUUAUUUAAGUUAGUCAUUAGGGGAAAUGCACAUCAAAACCACAAUGGGAUAACAUUUCAUAACCACUAAGUUAGCCAUAAUUAAAAAAAAAAAAAAAAGAAAAGAAAAUAGCAAGGGUUGGUGAGGAUGUGGGGCAAUUGGAACCCUUGUGCACUUGCUAGUGGGAAGGUGAAAAGGAGCAGCUGCUGUGGAAAUAGUUCAGUGUUUACUCAACAAGUUUAACAGAUUUACCACAUUAGCUAGCAAUUCUACUCCUAAACAUAUACUCAAAACUGAGAACAGGUAUUCAGACAAGUUUGUACACAAAAGCCCAUAGCAGCACCAUUCACAAUAGCCACAAGGUAGAAACAACCCAAAUGUUCAUUAAUGGAUGAGUGGAUAAGUAAAAUGCAUUGUGCCCAUACUGUGGACUAUUAGUCAUCCCCGGGCUGCAGCAUGAAUGAAACUUGAAAUCAGGAUGAUGAGUGAAAGAAGGCAGACACAAAAGGUCACAUGUUGUGUGGUUCCAUUUUUACGAAACGUCCAGAAUGAGGAAAUUCAUAGAAACAGAAAACAGACUAGUGAUUGCCAGGAGCUACAGGGAGGAUAGAGGGAGGAGUGGCUGCUUAAUGGUUAAGAGGUUUUCUUUGGGGCUGAUGAAAAUGUAACUAAAGAGAGGUGAUAGGAGUCCCCGUUGUGGCUCUGCAGUUAACAAAGUCGACUAGUAUCCCUGAGGAUGCAGAUUUGAUCCUCAGCCUUGCUCAGUGGGUUAAGAAUCCGGCAUGGUGAGCCAUGGUAUAGGCUGCAGAUGUGGUUUGGAUCUGGCGUUGCUAUGGCUGUGGCGUAGGUCAGCGGCUAUAGCUCCAAUGGGACCCCUCGCCUGGGAACUUCCAUAUGCCACAGGUGCUGCCCUAAAAAGACAAAAAUAAAUAAAUAAAUAAAUAAAAAUAGAGGUGAUAGUUGUACAACAUUUUAAAUAUACUAAAUGCUAAUGGAUUGCGUGCCUUUUUUUUUUUUUUUUUUUUUUUUGGGUCUUUUUGCCUUUUCUAGGGCCGCUCCUGCAGCAUAGGGAGAUUCCCAGGCUAGGGGUUUAAUCGGAGCUGUAGCCUCUGGCCUACGUCAGAGCCACAGCAAUGCAGGAUCCGAGCCGCGUUUGCAACCUACACCACAGCUCACGGCAUCGCCAGAUCCUUAACCCACUAAGCGGGGCCAGGGAUUGAACCCGAAACCUCAUGGUUCCUAGUCGGAUUUGUUAACCACUGAGCCGCAAUGGGAACUCCUGAUUGUAUGCUUUUAAAUGGUAAUUUUUGUUGUAUGAAUUUUAUCUCGGGGGGAAAAAAAGUCUUUAGUAAGAGGUAGAGUUAAUGGAUGGCUCUUGGUGACUGAUGGGUGGCAGGGAGAUGGAGAAGUACAGGAAGGAGUCAAGAAGGACAUCCAGCCAGGUGACUUGAACAAAUGGGAGAGUGACUACAUUUACUGAGUUGGGGAAACAUGAAGGAGUAGAUAUCUAGGAGGUGACAAAUCUCCAUUUCAGAUAUGACGAGUGAAAAAGUGUUGAGACAUCCAAAUCUAGAGCUCAGAAGAAAAGUCUAAGACAAAGAUAUUUGGGAGUCAUCAACGUAGUACCGUAAAUUAACACUAAAGAGUGAGUGAAGGAGUUCCCUUCAUAGGCUCAGCAGAAAUGAACUGACUGGUAUACAUGAGGAUGGGGGUUCAAUCCCUGGCCUGGCUCAGUGGCUCAAGAACUUGGAGUUGCUGUGUACUGUGGUGUAGGUCACCGAUGUGGCUCAGAUCCCACAUUGCUGUGGCUGUGGUAUAGGCCAGCAGCUGUAGCUCCGAUUCAACCCCUGGCCUGGGAUCAAACCCAUAACCUCAUGGUUACUAGUCAAAUUCAUUUCCACUGCACCACAAUGGGAACUCUGGGAACUCCUAAUAAAUAAUAUUUAAAUGAAUAAAAAUAAGAAGGCAGUCCCAUUGAAGAUCAGUGGGUUAAGAACCUGACUAGUAUCUGUGAGGACGAAGGUUCUAUUCCUGGUGUCGCUCAGUGGGUUAAGGAACCAGCAUUGCUGCAAGCUGCAGCAUAAGUAGCAGAUGCACCUUAGAUCUGGUGCUGCCAUGGCUAUGGUUUAGGCCAGCAGCUGCAGCUCCAAUUUGAUCCCUAGCCUGGGAAUUUCCAUAUGUUGCAGGUGCAGCCAUAAAAAGAAAAACAAUAAUAAUAAUAAUAAUAAAAUGGCUAUCAAGCCAUGAAAAGACAUGGAGAAAAUUUAAAUGCAUAUUACUAUGUGAAAAAAACCAAUCUGAGAAAUCUACCUACUGUAUGAUUCUAACUACAUGGCAUUAAGGAAAUGGCAAAACCAUGGAGACAAUAAAAAGAUCAGUGGUUGUAGAAGAGGUUUAUGAAUAGGCAGAGCAUAGAUUUUUUCUUAGGGCAGAGAAAAUAUUCUGAAUGAUAUUUUAAUGAUAGGGAGACAUCAUUAAAUAUUUCCAAACCCGGAGUUCCCAUCAUGGCUCAGUGGUUAACAAAUCCGACUAGGAAUCAUGAGGCUGUAGGUUUGAUCCCUGGCCUUGCUUAGUGGGUUAAAGAUCCAGCAUUGCCGUGAGCUGUGGUGUAGGUCGCAGACGUGGCUUGAAUCCCAUGUUGCUCUGGCUGUGGCGUAGGUCGGUGGCUGCAGCUCCAAGUCGACCCCUAGCCUGGGAACCUCCAU
rnacentral:lncRNA from 1 species